UACGUAGGGUGCGAGCGUUGUCCGGAAUUACUGGGCGUAAAGAGUUCGUAGGUGGUUUGUCGCGUUGUCCGUGAAAACUCACAGCUUAACUGUGGGCGUGCGGGCGAUACGGGCAGACUGGAGUACUGCAGGGGAGACUGGAAUUCCUGGUGUAGCGGUGGAAUGCGCAGAUAUCAGGAGGAACACCGGUGGCGAAGGCGGGUCUCUGGGCAGUAACUGACGCUGAGGAGCGAAAGCGUGGGGAGCGAACAGG
rnacentral:rRNA from 1 species